rnacentral:lncRNA from 1 species
AGCCUCCAACAACCUGGAUGCAUUGCAUGUGAUUCGAGGGCCAAGGAUGCUGUGAUUGGGAGGUAUAAAAAUACAUUUUCUUUCUAUUUUUUCCUUCAAUUCUUUAUUCCUUGGAGCAAACAGAAAACCAUAGAGAGAGAGUUGAAUUUAAAGAUAAGCUAGUGAGAGAGAGAGAGAGAGAGAGAGAGAGAGAGAGAGAAAACUAAGAGAAUGAGUGUGUAUAAAUAGAGUGUGAGCGUGUGUGGGUGCUGUCCAGAGGAGAAGACGAUCUCUUCUCUUUUAUAGUAAGAAUUUCCAUUUGUUUCGAGAAACUAACUCUCUUUUAUGUUUAUUUACUCAUCCUGUUUCACC